rnacentral:rRNA from 1 species
GAUGAACGCUAGCGGCAGGCCUAACACAUGCAAGUCGAGGGGUAGCAGGAUUAAGCUUGCUUAAUUGCUGACGACCGGCGCACGGGUGCGUAACGCGUAUGCAACCUACCUUAUACUGGGGUAUAGCCCGGAGAAAUUCGGAUUAAUCCCCCAUAGUACUAAUGAAUCGCAUGGUUUAUUAGUUAAAGCAUUGCGGUAUAAGAUGGGCAUGCGUCCUAUUAGCUAGAUGGCGAGGUAACGGCUCACCAUGGCUACGAUAGGUAGGGGGCCUGAGAGGGUUGUCCCCCACACUGGUACUGAGACACGGACCAGACUCCUACGGGAGGCAGCAGUGAGGAAUAUUGGUAAAUGGGCGCAAGCCUGAACCAGCCAUGCCGCGUGCAGGAAGAAUGCCCUAUGGGUUGUAAACUGCUUUUAUUUGGGAAUAAACCUCUUUACGUGUAGAGAGCUGAAGGUACCAAAUGAAUAAGCACCGGCUAACUCCGUGCCAGCCGCCGCCGUAA